UACGUAGGGGGCAAGCGUUGUCCGGAUUUAUUGGGCGUAAAGAGCGUGUAGGCGGCUUUACAGGUCCGUUGUGAAAACUCGAGGCUCAACCUCGAGACGCCGGUGGAAACCGUAAGGCUAGAGUCCGGAAGAGGAGAGUGGAAUUCCUGGUGUAGCGGUGAAAUGCGCAGAUAUCAGGAAGAACACCGGUGGCGAAGGCGCUCUGCUAGGCCGCAACUGACACUGAGGGACGAAAGCUAGGGGAGCGAAUGGG
rnacentral:rRNA from 1 species